rnacentral:lncRNA from 1 species
AUGUGCAGUAUUUGUUUCAAUAACACUUUCCAAUAUCCAAAAAGGAAUAUUCUUAUACUUCUGUACUUAGAAAAUACCUUUCUGGGUCCUCCUGUAAGAACCCGUCACAUGUUCUGUGACUUACACAAUUUUCAUUCCUCGUGUCUCUCCAGGGACGCCACAUUUAUGACUGCAUUUUCAAGCUGCAUUUCUCUGUCAGUCUUUUCACAGGCAUUCUGGAAAAAAGACUGCAUUUCAACUCCAAGACUUAAUCUGCUCAACAGGUUUAAGAUCUAUCUUUUAGAUGCAGCAAGACCACAAACACUGCACCUGACAGCUAUGAGCUGGACCAGCAUCUAAUCAGCUGAGCAGCGCCGGGCAUGAAAGAAUCUUCCUGAAGAGAAAAGAGUGUUACAACAAAGCUGCACUGACUGAGAUGAUUGCAGCAGGAAGAAAAGAAUGGGACUGAUGGAUCUGUUUCUAGCUGACCCAAACCUGAAUAGCAGUGAAAGAGGUUGGUGAUUAGGAAUGAAAUCCACUCACUGAUAGUUUUCUCUACAACCCUUGAACCAAACGGAGAUAAGAGAGCCUGUCAUGAAACGAGCCGUUGCUCCUAAUUAGGUUCUGCUAUUUAAUAGGGGGAGGCUGACAUGUUGUUUUUUAGGUUCCUUCUGUAAAAUUAACAAAAGAAGUGAUGCAAAAGCAGUGGUGUCUGCUGAAAAACCAACAUGCCCUUCAUUAGAAUGAAAAAUUUAAGAACUUUUGUUUUUCUGAACAAAGAAAUAUUCAGAUAUGGACUUCUAAGCCUAAUGUUCUUUAUAAAUGUCCUCCAUCGUGAGAAAAAUGCCACGAGUUCAAGUUAAAAACACCAUAAACACAUUUUUCAUGGGACUGUGCAUUUAACACAUCAACAUUUGUUCCAAUUCGAGGCAUUCCUUUCUACUACCAGCAUUUGUUGCUGCUUUAGGGUCUUGUUUUUUUGCUUCUGACCCCCUGUAGCAGGACCUUGUGUGCAUGACUCCAGAGACGGUGAUCAGUAGCUGUGAAUAGUCAGACUUCUACAGCACGUUUAUACAUUUUGUCUUUUAAC